CCCUUAGAUGUUCUGGGCUGCACGCGUGCUACAAUGGCGCUUGCAACAAGUCUUGCCAACCCGAUAGGGUGAGCGGUUCUUUGAAGAGGCGUCGUGAUCGGGACAGUUGAUUGCAAUUAUUCGACUCGAACGAGGAAUUCCUUGUAAUCGCGAUUCAUCAUAUCGCGCUGAAUACGUCCCUGCCCUUUGUACACACCGCCCGUCGCUCCUACCGAUUGAGCGAUCCGGUGAAUGUUUUGGACUGGCGUCAGAAGCGGUUCGCUCCUGACACUACGAAAUUUUGUAAACCUUAUCGCUUAGAGGAAGGAAAAGUCGUAACA
rnacentral:rRNA from 1 species